GCGCGUGCACAUCUUGACUCUUCCCAUUUCACAGAAAAGAAAGUUGAGGCCAGAGAGGGGAAGCAGCUCACGCAAGGUCACACAGCGAAUGCAGCGGCAAAGGCGAAACUAGAACUCAGACCCACCUCCCUCCAGAGACUGCUCUCUCCUGCCCCAGGCCGCGCAGCUCGGCGCGGGGCCAGCGGGUGCCCUCCUGCUUCCCCAGGCCGCUCCUCCCCGGCGACCCGGGCCCUUCCCUGCGGCUCCGGGAGGCUCCGCCGGUGACUUUCUUUAACCCCCAAAACCCCCUCCUCCUCGGCCCAUUUUACAGAUGGGAAACCAGAGGCCCGGAGAAGUCGCUUCCUAGGAAUCACACAGCCGGCAGGAGGCGGUGCCUGGGUUCCAGAGAAUGACAGG